UACAGAGGUCUCAACCGUUGUUCGGAUUCAUUGGGCGUAAAGGGUGCGUAGGCGGUCAUGCAAGUCGGAUGUGAAAUCUCAGGGCUCAACCCUGAAACUGCAUUCGAUACUGCGUGGCUAGAGUGCUGGAGAGGAGACUGGAAUUUACGGUGUAGCAGUGAAAUGCGUAGAUAUCGUAAGGAAGACCAGUGGCGAAGGCGAGUCUCUGGACAGCAACUGACGCUGAGGCACGAAGGCCAGGGGAGCAAACGGG
rnacentral:rRNA from 1 species